AAGGCGAUGACUGCAGCGGAGAGGACAACAAUGCCAACAUAUACUAGUCCCGUCUGAACAUCCAUUUUUGGUUGUUUUACCUUGGAAAAUAAAAAGCGGUUGCGAGGACACUGGAAAAUUUGUCCUUGAGGAAUCCUAGUGGGGCAUCCCACGAUAACGGACGUGUAUACGUGUGCAAGCCGAGCGAAAGCGGGGGUGAAAUCAAGGAGGAAUCACGGUGAACGUGCGGAAUGAAUCGGAGUUGUGCGAUAUCGCGGCCGACUCGGAGGAGCGGCAUAUGGAUUAUGGGGCCGCGGGUCAUCGACACAUCACGGGGAUUGACCGGCGAAUUCGGUGUUGCGUCGGCACGUUUAACGGUGUUACAGUACGACCGGCACGCCGUUACCACCAUGCUCUCGUCUCUCCCCCGAUUCCAAGACGCGAUGCUACGACGGACACUGCGAAUAGUCGGAUGAUGAUCGUCGUAGAUCGACGUGCUCCUCGCUG